rnacentral:rRNA from 1 species
CGAAGUUGGAUUCGCUAGUAAUCGCGCAUCAGCCAUGGCGCGGUGAAUACGUUCCCGGGCCUUGUACACACCGCCCGUCAAGCCCAUGGGAGCCGGGGGCGCCUGAAGUCCGGGACCGCGAGGACCGGCCUAGGGCGAAACUGGUAACUGGGCUAAGUCGUAACAAGGUAGC